CUUCCUUUGUCGCCCAUUGCUGCUCCAGAGGACGAAGCCGCAGGCGGCCACCACGAGCGUCAGGAUUAGCACCUUCCGUUUGUAGAUGCGGAACCUCAUGGUCUCCAGGGCCGGGAGCGCAGCUCGAGCAUCGGCGCCGCCGCUAGGAGCCGCGGCUCGGCUUCGUCUCCGUCCUCUCCAUUCAGCACCACGGGUCCCGGAAAAAGCUCAGCCGCGGUCCCAACCGCACCCUAGCUUCGUUACCUGCGCCUCCAGCGGCCCUGCGUCCUCUGCGCUCUCAUCCUUACAGGGGCCCUAGACGGCCAGAACUGAGCGACGCGGCCUCGCCUCACUCCGGCGGGGACCGUUAUGACAACCCGCAACUGCCCCGCGGCACACCGCGGCCCUCCGGCCCACACCCCUC
rnacentral:lncRNA from 1 species